rnacentral:rRNA from 1 species
AGACCCGAAACCCGGUGAUCUAGCCAUGGGCAGGUUGAAGGUUGGGUAACACUAACUGGAGGACCGAACCGACUAAUGUUGAAAAAUUAGCGGAUGACCUGUGGCUGGGGGUGAAAGGCCAAUCAAACCGGGAGAUAGCUGGUUCUCCCCGAAAGCUAUUUAGGUAGCGCCUCGUGAAUUCAUCUCCGGGGGUAGAGCACUGUUUCGGCUAGGGGGCCAUCCCGGCUUACCAACCCGAUGCAAACUGCGAAUACCGGAGAAUGUUAUCACGGGAGACACACGGCGGGUGCUAACGUCCGUCGUGAAGAGGGAAACAACCCAGACCGCCAGCUAAGGUCCCAAAGUCAUGGUUAAGUGGGAAACGAUGUGGGAAGGCCCAGACAGCCAGGAUGUUGGCUUAGAAGCAGCCAUCAUUUAAAGAAAGCGUAAUAGCUCACUGGUCGAGUCGGCCUGCGCGGAAGAUGUAACGGGGCUAAACCAUGCACCGAAGCUGCGGCAGCGACACUCAGGUGUUGUUGGGUAGGGGAGCGUUCUGUAAGUCUGCGAAGGUGGCCUGUGAGGGUUGCUGGAGGUAUCAGAAGUGCGAAUGCUGACAUAAGUAACGAUAAAGCGGGUGAAAAGCCCGCUCGCCGGAAGACCAAGGGUUCCUGUCCAACGUUAAUCGGGGCAGGGUGAGUCGACCCCUA